CCCUUAGAUGAUUUGGGCUGCACGCGCGCUACACUGACCCUAACAAUGAGCAACUGUCUGGCCUGAGAUGGCUGGGUAGCCUUUUCAACCCAUGUCAUGAUUGGGCUAGAUUUUUGUAAGUCUUGAUCUCUAACGAGGAAUCCCUAGUAUGCGUGAAUCAUCAAUCCAUGCAGAUUAUGUCCCUGCCCUUUGUACACACCGCCCGUCGCACCUACUGAUUGAAUGACUCGGUGAAAAAUCGGGACUGCGAGAACAAUCGAUUAAUUUCGAAUGUACUUGUGGGAACUUUUUUUAACCUCGCCAUUUAGAAGAAGGUGAAGUCGUAACA
rnacentral:rRNA from 1 species